AGGGUUUGAUCAUGGCUCAGAACGUACGCUGGCGGCACGCCUUAUACAUGCAAGUCGAACGAAGUAGCAAUACUUAGUGGCAGACGGGUGAGUAACAUGUAGGUAUCUUCCCUUUGGUGAGGAAUAACACGAGGAAACUUGUGCUAAUACCUCAUAAGUCUUUACGGAGAAAGCUUUAUGCGCCAAUGGAUGAGCCUGCACUUGAUUAGUUUGUUGGUGGGGUAAUGGCCUACCAAGACUUUGAUCAAUAGCUGAUCUGAGAGGAUGAUCAGCCACAUUGGGACUGAGACACGGCCCAAACUCCUACGGGAGGCAGCAGUAGGGAAUAUUGCACAAUGGAAGAAACUCUGAUGCAGCGAUGCCGCGUGAGUGAAGAAGGCCUUUGGGUUGUAAAGCUCUUUCGUCGGGGAAGAAAAUGACUGUACCCGAAUAAGAAGGUCCGGCUAACUUCGUGCCAGCAGCCGCGGUAAUACGAAGGGACCUAGCGUAGUUCGGAAUUACUGGGCUUAAAGAGUUCGUAGGUGGUUAAAAAAGUUGGUUGUGAAAUCCCGAAGCUUAACUUCGGAACUGCAAUCAAAACUUUUUAGCUAGAGUAUGAUAGAGGAAAGCAGAAUUUCUAGUGUAGAGGUGAAAUUCGUAGAUAUUAGAAAGAAUACCAAUUGCGAAGGCAGCUUUCUGGAUCAUUACUGACGCUGAGGAACGAAAGCAUGGGUAGCGAAGAGGAUUAGAUACCCUCGUAGUCCAUGCCGUAAACGAUGUGUGUUAGACGUUGGAAAUUAAUUUUCAGUGUCGCAGCGAAAGCAGUAAACACACCGCCUGGGGAGUACGACCGC
rnacentral:rRNA from 1 species